GCCAAUAUGUCUCAAAGUAAUAAAUUUAUGGAGUUGAUUCUAUAUGCUCUUAAACAAAAGGAAAUUAGAAGAUGCGGAAAAUAGAAGAAAGAGACUGACAAGGCAAACCCAAUUUUUUUUCUCGAAGAGAUUUCAUUCAAUUUUCCAAUCCUACAGUUUUUCAAUUAAUAAUCAUUCCCCAUGACAAAAGGGAUCAUCAUGACUUGGUGGUUAUAAGACCAUAGUAACCUAUUUUGCAAUCCCCUAGAACUCGAAUCUGAAAGAGAUCUAGCGACUAAUUAAUUUUAAGAUUUCUACCAACUAUGACAAGGCAUAAUUUCUAUAAAUAUUCCUGCCCUCUCAACUUCAAUUUCCAACUUUCUCCUCAAGGUUGAUGUUUGUGAUCUACAGUUGUCCGCUUGAAUAUUUUUCUUUUGUAUUUGUAAAUGCGUUUCCAUCCAUAAGGAAGAAUUUUGGGACUUUCGUAUGGAUCUAGCUUAAUUUUUUCAUCUCAGUCGCGGUGGCCCCUUCUUUCUUUACCCCAUCUUUAUAAUAAAUAGCUUCUUGAGUGUUGUAGCAAGAAAUUAAUCAAAGCACUCAAGUAUCUCUUAUUAUUGCAAGAAAUUAAUUCUGCGUUAUACAGAUGAGCUGGCCAUACAUCCUCUAUCUAAUGUUUCAACUGCUAGCACUUGAUAUUUUCUUGAGGCUGCUCAUGCUCUAACAGUGUCUCAUGCAAACUAUGCAUUGAGUAAAAGAGAAUUUGUUUCAAAGCUUAGCUGAUUCUCCUAUGUUGGGUAUAAAAUAAUCCCAGUCGAAGUUCGUAAAAAGCCGACCUUUUCAGGGCUCUUUCGGCUUCCAACCUUAUGUGACGUCUUUCCGAACUCCUCCGACCGUCCGAGCUUCCACAAUACCAUCCGGACUUCUCCGAUAAUGGGCUCCUCCAUUCACCUACCGGACUGCUACAAAUGCUCUCUGAGCUUCACUAUCAGCCGAUUUUCUACAGUGAUCGACUAUUCUCCAAAUCUCAGCCUAAACUUCUUCCGGCCACGAACGACUUUACUCCAAACUUCUUCCGGGCUUCGUCGACGUCUGAGCUUCUCCAAUAGUAGGACUUCUAUAAUAACCAGACUCCCUCCAAGUUUCUACGGCGGUCAACCGUCUUCCGGAUUUUAUCCGAGCUAAUUUCAUCCGAGCUCCUACAAGAGCCGGAUCCCAGACGAACUUCUACGAUGGAUAGGCUCCACUGGAUCUCUACUCCGAACUUCUUUCGGACCUCGUCAAUGACCAAGCUUCUCCAGUAGUGGGACUUCUACAAUAAGAAGUCUCCAUCCGAGCUUCUACGACAACUGAUCUUCGACCGAGCCUCUACAAUAAGCGACCUCUUUUCGGACUCCUACGAGAGCUGGACUCCGUUCG
rnacentral:lncRNA from 1 species